AUGCCCCUUAGACAAGUUGGGAAGAUGUGGCGGUACGCGGAACCCGGUGUGGCCUUCCAGCUGCUUGGGGAGCUGCAGAGACAACAACACUGCAACAUCCUAUGUGAUACACUGCUACAGACAGAGGGUAUGUCUGUGCCCGUUCAUAGCUGCAUCUUGGCUGCUUUCAGUCCGUUCCUUUAUCGGGAACUCUCUACCUCUCUUUCCUUCCCUGUGGGCCAAAAAAGGUUGAUCAGGGUGCCGACCAUUGGGGCCCAGGCCCUGCUGAAGCUGAUAAGUUACCUCUACUCUGGAGAGAUGAAGGGGCUGGGCCCAAUGGAGCAUGAGGAGGUCAAAGCUGCAUUCAUCAGAUUAGGCAUGAGUCACCUGAUCCACACCUUUGAAGAGGACAGCAGACAGUGGAGAAGUAAUGACAGAGGGUUGCAGUUGGAACUGGAAGGGGGUGUGCAGGUGGGCAUUGAAAAGAACAGUGCUGGAGUGCAGACUCUGAAAGCGAAGGACAUGAUGGAUAGAGCAACCCAGACAGAGGCAGAGUCCAUAGUGCAUGCUGCCACGCAGACCUUGAACCAAGACGUGUGUGUGGCCUCAGAUCAGUGCAUGUGGCCUCCCCUAUUGUCAGAUGGAUAUGGGAGCACGGCCUCACCCAUAACCCAGACCGCUAAGGUUUCACCCACCGCUGGCGCAUCUACGUUUGUAAUUUUAACACCAGCCAGUGAUCCCCCUUUGAGCAAUGACAACUUCGCUUCUUGCCAAGUAUCACGGAUGUCCUCCCCCUCUAUCCAGUGUGAUAGGCAACCACACUCUCCUGUCACCGAUCCAUCCAACACGUUCAACCCCUCCUUUGAAAUGUUGUCAGACAGCUUUUUCUCAACAGCAGCAACUCACCCAGAUGACGGUAAGGAGAGGGCUUAUGCGCAUUUGGAGGCAGACACCGAGCGCAAGCUUGAAUCGGGCGAACAAGUAACAAAGAACAGCUCUCCUGAAGGACCGACAUCAAGGAUGCGCAAGAGUGAAGGGCCGAUUACCAUGACGGACAAUGAGAAUGGGAUGACUCCACCAGACACUGAGAAAAGAGACGGAGGAAAAGAAAAGGACAACACCAGCAGAGGUCAAAGUGAAAAGGUUCUCGGUCAGGACAUGGGGUUGACAUUGGAUGAGCGAAGCAAGGCACUCAAAAUGAAGUUUAAAAGGAAGUGUAAGAAUGCUCUCUGGAAGAUUGAAAGAACGGAGGAGGACCCAGCCAUAAUGGUCGGAGAGAGCAGCUCCAGGACCUGCAGGGAGACGAGCACAUGUGUCCUCAGGCUCUCUAGGAGUCCUGUGACCACUCAAGCUCAGAAGGAGAGGCAGAAUAAUAUGGAUGCCACUGCCAAUGAAGAGAGGCAAAAUAGCUUUAUUUCACACACCGUUCCCUCACUGAUUCCCACAGUACCACUUGAUCCACCUCUUUCCUCUCCCCCCAAUUUUGUCCAAACCACUGUCCAUACCCUCACCCAGACAGCCAACCACAAGACCCCAACCCACUUCCAGCCAGAGGAAUGCGAUGAGCAGAUGGAUAGGCUUCUGGAUGACAUUAUGAUGGACCUCAACAUCUUCUUACCCAUGACCACAGAGAGAGGCUCCAGCAGGCUCCAGCAGAGGCCACUAGCCUACCUCCCUGGUGACCCAUCAGGAUUAGAUCCAACCCCUUGGUUGGGAGAAGCUGAAGUAUCCAUGGUGAAUACCUUAAAUAGUUCAUCUGGACAAAUGGAGAAAGCAGUAGCCUCUGACCUAAUGCUGGUGUCCCAAUUUGGCACUUCAUUGUCUGAAUGUGUAGGGUCUGUCACUGAGCAGUCAUCAUCCCACCAUCCAGGAUCACUGUUCACACAACAUCAUACAGAACCUAGGUAUGGCAGCUCAUGUAAAUUCACAGAAUCUAAAUCAGUAAGAUCCCGUGAAGUUACACAUGCAAGCAGUGUGUCCAGUGAAAGUCCUGGCUUCCCCCAGUCAGGCGGGAAUGUUGGCUCCUCCACUGUCGAACAUUGUCUUGCCCACCAUAAUUGGUACUCUUGGAGAAAGCUACCCUCCUCAAAGCCCAUCAGCACAGAGCCACAGUCAAAGGGAGACGGCACAUCCACCUACCGCUGCACGGCAAAUUUAGAUGAGAUGCGGCUCCGCAGCUGUCUCUCUCCACUCCGGUCGGAAGAUGAAAGCACUGUUAGGUCCCAAAGUCUCCCUAACCAACCCACAGUCCAGUCCACAUCAUCAGGUCAAAGACAAAGCCAGGCUCCUGUUAAUAUUCCUCCAUGGCUCUCUCUCAAACCAGUUGACCUGCGAUUCCCACUAAACUCUAUUCUGCUCAAGUCACCUUCUGAUACAUGUAAACAAAAGCAACCAGCAGUCAUCCAGCGGACUUGGAGAAACCAAACAGCACCGCAUGCUCAAUACAGUGCUACUCCAGACUCUGAAACUGGAAGUGGGUCUAGCAUUUCCAGGCAGAAAUCUUCCAGUCAGGAAGAGGAAUUAUGUUUAAAGUCUAUAGUGACAAGAAAACAGAGUUUGGAGAGUCAAAAAGCCACAGCAGAGCCAGAGAUGGAAAAUGCAAAGAAGAGAUCCGUGAGAAAAGGUCUAAGGAGCAUGGAGGUGAAGCAAAAAUAUGCAGUCGAGGAAAACGGGCAAAAGACAUCUGCUGAGAUCGGCUUACAGAACACUGAUUCCAAUAUUUUGCCCAGCAGCAUCUUCACAGAAAGGAGGCGGCGGAAAAGAUCAACCCCACCACUCGUUGCCAAAAAGCAAGGUGAAGGCCACGGUAAAUCAGCAGAUGUACAGUCCAUGUCAGGUCUAGGGGUUCCAAAGCGCAGACGAGGGAGGCCGCCCAAGCUCAUUGCACACUCUGGAGUCCUGAGUCCAAGCGUGUCACUAACAGCAGUGAGGGAAGCAUGCUCCAUCAGCAGACAGCAGGCCUCGGAGUCACUCAGCAGCAAACAGUGGACUCAGGCCUCGUCAAAAAACAGGCAAGAGCAUAAUAUGGGCAACUCAGCCAAAGUGAAGUCACAAGAUCAGGCCCUUAACCAGAAAGAGUCUGAAUUACAGAGUGCCCCUUUGAGCCAGGGAGCUGUGAAGAAGAACCGAAGUGCAAGUGCUAACAAUGUCCAAAGGAACACAUUCCCAAGCAGCUCUCGGCUGAAACCAACCUCAGCACCCGAGCUGAAAACCAACACCAGUACUCCCAUGCCCUCGCAGACUUUAAAGAGGUUCAGAGAGCUCCUAGAACGCAACGGAAGUUUGAAACGGAGAAGAGACAUGAAAGGGGAUAAGAAAUCUGCCGAAGCUGAAAGGAGUAGUGAAUGUCUGGAAAAAAAAGAAAAUGGAGACACUGCGAAGACUGAUAAAACUACAGAACAAGAAACAAAAGAAGCUCAGAUGCAGGGGCACCUAAACAGGCCCCUUACAUACCCUGCAAACAAAGGUGACACCAACGUCCAACUGGCGCCACCACUGCCCAUGUGUCCAAAGCCUGGGUCAAAGGCAUCACGAGCCCACAAGUGGACAGAGGGCUCAACAGGAAGUUUCGAGGAGGAGGAGGAGGAGGAAGAGCAGGAGGAGCAAGAGCUGGAAGAGGAUGUGGAUGUGAUGAGUGGCUCCCCAGUGACUCUGCCUGUGUUUGAGUCUGGACUGGUUGGCAGAGAACCAUCCGAUGCUGAGGAGGUGGAUGAGGAGGUUGAUAUAAUUACUGUGGAUAUCAAUUAA
rnacentral:lncRNA from 1 species